rnacentral:rRNA from 1 species
GACGAACGCUGGCGGCGUGCUUAACACAUGCAAGUCGAACGGAAAGGCGCCCCUGUGGGGUACUCGAGUGGCGAACGGGGGAGUAACACGUUAGUAACCUACCCUUGACUGUGGGAUAACUUCAGGAAACUGGGGCUAAUACCGGAUAGGAGCUCCUGCUGCAUGGUGGGGGUUGGAAAGUUUCGGCGGUUGGGGUUGGCCUCGCGGCUUAUAGGCUUUUUGGGGGGGUAGUGGCUCACCAGGGCUUUGACGGGUAGCCGGCCUGAGAGGGGGACCGGCCACAUUGGGCCUGAGAUACGGCCCAGAGUGCUACGGGAGGCAGCAGUGGGGAAUCUUGCACAAUGGGCGGAAGCCUGAUGCAGCGACGUCGCGUGCGGGAUGAAGGCCUUCGGGUUGUAAACCGCUUUCGCCUGUGACGAAGCGUGAGUGACGGUAAUGGGUAAAGAAGCACCGGCUAACUACGUG